rnacentral:rRNA from 1 species
UGGGAUAACUCCGGGAAACCGGGGCUAAUACCGGAUGCUUGUUUGAACCGCAUGGUUCAGACAUAAAAGGUGGCUUCGGCUACCACUUACAGAUGGACCCGCGGCGCAUUAGCUAGUUGGUGAGGUAACGGCUCACCAAGGCAACGAUGCGUAGCCGACCUGAGAGGGUGAUCGGCCACACUGGGACUGAGACACGGCCCAGACUCCUACGGGAGGCAGCAGUAGGGAAUCUUCCGCAAUGGACGAAAGUCUGACGGAGCAACGCCGCGUGAGUGAUGAAGGUUUUCGGAUCGUAAAGCUCUGUUGUUAGGGAAGAACAAGUGCCGUUCAAAUAGGGCGGCACCUUGACGGUACCUAACCAGAAAGCCACGGCUAACUACGUGCCAGCAGCCGCGGUAAUACGUAGGUGGCAAGCGUUGUCCGGAAUUAUUGGGCGUAAAGGGCUCGCAGGCGGUUUCUUAAGUCUGAUGUGAAAGCCCCCGGCUCAACCGGGGAGGGUCAUUGGAAACUGGGGAACUUGAGUGCAGAAGAGGAGAGUGGAAUUCCACGUGUAGCGGUGAAAAUGCGUAGAGAUGUGGAGGAACACCAGUGGCGAACCGCGACUCUCUGGUCUGUAACUGAC